rnacentral:rRNA from 1 species
UACGGGGGGGGCAAGCGUUGUUCGGAAUUACUGGCGUAAAGGGCUCGUAGGUGGCCAACUAAGUCAGACGUGAAAUCCCUCAGCUUAACUGGGGAACUGCGUCUGAUACUGGAUGGCUUGAGUUUGGGAGAGGAUGCGGAAUUCCUGGUGUAGCGGUGGAAUGCGCAGAUAUCAGGAGGAACACCAAUAGCGAAGGCAGCUCGCUGGGACGUUACUGACACUGAGGCGCGAAAGCGUGGGUAGCGAACAGG